rnacentral:misc_RNA from 1 species
GAUGAAGAACGCAGCGAAAUGCGAUAAGUAGUGUGAAUUGCAGAAUUCAGUGAAUCAUCGAAUCUUUGAACGCACAUUGCGCCCCUUGGUAUUCCAUGGGGCAUGCCUGUUCGAGCGUCAUUUGUACCUUCAAGCUUUGCUUGGUGUUGGGUGUUUGUCUCGCCUUUGCGUGUAGACUCGCCUUAAAAUAAUUGGCAGCCGGCGUAUUGAUUUCGGAGCGCAGUACAUCUCGCGCUUUGCACUCAUAACGACAGCGUCCAAAAGUACAUUUUACACUCUUGACCUCGGAUCAGGUAGAGAUACCCGCUGAACUUAAGCAUAUCAAUAAGCGGAGGA